rnacentral:misc_RNA from 1 species
AACACGUAAUCACAACAGGGUGUCGCAGGGGUCGGGUGUGAGCCCGGUCCUCGUGAUGCUUUGCUGGCAUUGCAUGCAUGGUGCUUCUUGCGAGGCACUGUGUGUGUUGUGUUGGUACGAAAACAAACCCCCGGCACGGCAUGUGCCAAGGAAAACAAAACAUAAGAAGGGUGCGUCCCGUGCUGCCCCGUUUGCGGUGUGCGCAUGGGCCGUGUCUUCUCAUUAACCAUAAACGACUCUCGGCAACGGAUAUCUCGGCUCACGCAUCGAUGAAGAACGUAGCAAAAUGCGAUACUUGGUGUGAAUUGCAGAAUCCCGUGAACCAUCGAGUUUUUGAACGCAAGUUGCGCCCGAAGCCAUUCGGCCGAGGGCACGUCUGCCUGGGCGUCACGCAUCGCGUCGCCCCCGACCACGCCUCCCUUAUGGGGACGGGGUUGUGUCGGGGGCGGAGACUGGUCUCCCGUGCCCAUGGUGUGGUUGGCCUAAAAAGGAGUCCCCUUUGACGGACGCACGGCUAGUGGUGGUUGUCAAGGCCUUCGUAACGAGCCGUGCGGAUGCAAAGGGAUCACUCUAAAAAGACCCCAACGUGCUGUC